AGUGAACGCUGGCGGUAGGCCUAACACAUGCAAGUCGAACGGCAGCACAGUAAGAGCUUGCUCUUACGGGUGGCGAGUGGCGGACGGGUGAGGAAUACAUCGGAAUCUACUUUUUCGUGGGGGAUAACGUAGGGAAACUUACGCUAAUACCGCAUACGACCUACGGGUGAAAGCAGGGGAUCUUCGGACCUUGCGCGAUUGAAUGAGCCGAUGUCGGAUUAGCUAGUUGGCGGGGUAAAGGCCCACCAAGGCGACGAUCCGUAGCUGGUCUGAGAGGAUGAUCAGCCACACUGGAACUGAGACACUGUCCAGACUCCUACGGGAGGCAGCAGUGGGGAAUAUUGGACAAUGGGCGCAAGCCUGAUCCAGCCAUACCGCGUGGGUGAAGAAGGCCUUCGGGUUGUAAAGCCCCUUUGUUGGGAAAGAAAAGCAGCAGGUUAAUACCCCGCUGUUCUGACGGUACCCAAAGAAUAAGCACCGGCUAACUUCGUG
rnacentral:rRNA from 1 species